rnacentral:rRNA from 1 species
GACGAACGCUGGCGGCGUGCUUAACACAUGCAAGUCGAACGGGAUUUAGUAGACAGACGCCUCGGCUAAAGAUUACUAAUGAGAGUGGCGAACGGGUGAGUAACGCGUGAGCAACCUGCCUAUGACAGUGGGAUAGCCUCGGGAAACCGGGAUUAAUACCGCAUAAAAUCGUAGAAACACAUGUUUUAACGGUCAAAGAUUUAUCGGUCAUAGAUGGGCUCGCGUCUGAUUAGCUAGUUGGUGAGAUAACAGCCCACCAAGGCGACGAUCAGUAGCCGGUGCGGAGGAAGGAACGGCAAAAUUGGAAUAGGGACCGGGGCCAAAUCCUAAGGGGGGGAGGAAGGGGGGAAAAUGGCAAAAUGGGGGAAACCCGAAGGCGGCGGGGCGGGGGAAACAAAAAAGGUUUUAGUAAGGGAAAGUUGUUUCUUAGGGGAAGAUAAGAACAUAACCAAAGAAAAAGCUCCGGGUAAAUUCGGG